rnacentral:rRNA from 1 species
UGAACGCUGGCGGCGUGCUUAACACAUGCAAGUCGAACGGUAGCAGAAGAGAGCUUGCUUUCUUGCUGACGAGUGGCGCACGGGUGAGUAAUGCAUAGGUAACGUGCCCCUUAGUCUGGGAUAGCCACUGGAAACGGUGAAUAAUACCGGAUACUCCUUCUACCUUGAUGGUAGUCGGGAAAGUUUUUCGCUAAGGGAUCGGCCUAUGUCCUAUCAGGUAGUUGGUGAGGUAAAGGCUCACCAAGCCUAUGACGGGUAGCGGGUCUGAGAGGAUGAUCCGCCACACUGGUACUGAGACACGGACCAGACUCCUACGGGAGGCAGCAGUGGGGAAUAUUGCACAAUGGACGAAAGUCUGAUGCAGCAACGCCGCGUGGAGGAUGACACAUUUCGGUGCGUAAACUCCUUUUAUAUGAGAAGAUAAUGACGGUAUCAUAUGAAUAAGCACCGGCUAACUCC